GCAUUGGUGGUUCAGUGGUAGAAUUCUCGCCUGCCACGCGGGAGGACCCGGGUCCGAUUCCCGGCCAAUGCA